rnacentral:rRNA from 1 species
GACGUAGGUGGCGAACGUUAUCCGGAAUUAUUGGGCGUAAAGGGUGCGUAGAUGGCUUGACAAGUUAUCAGUGGUAAAUCGAGGCUCAACCUCGUGGAAACUUGUAAUACUGUCCGGCUUGAGUGCAGGAGAGGUUAAUGGAACUCUAUGUGGAGCGGUAAAAUGCACAGAUAUAUAGAAGAACACCAAUAACGGCGAAGGCAAUUAACUAUUCUGUUACUGACAUUGAGGCACGAAAGCGUGGGGAGCAAAACGGA